UCUCCAGACCAUGUUUUCAAAUUUUACUUUACUGUAUGAAUGCAGGCCCUUGUAAUUGCUUUUUCAAUACUGCCAACUCGUUACUGAUGAUUGAUUUCACAUUGUGAUAUGAGUAUAUAGUGAAAUGAGUGGUAUCCACCUACAACAACAUAGCAAUAACAUGGAGCCGGCAGGUGAUCCAAGUCACAAUAGAGGUCAAGCAGUAGGAGGAGGAAGCCGAGGAAGAUGUGGUGGUCAAAGGAAUGACAGGGGACAAGCACCCUUUCUGAGAGGUGGUCGUGGGCUUCGUCAUAGAUGAGGGCGUAGGCCUCACCAGAGAGGCAGCCAUGGGCUCGUUUGAGAGGUGUGGGGGAACGUGGUAGAGGACAAGGCCACGGACAAAGACAGCGGCAGCAACAGCAAAGAGUGUCCAAUGAAAUCCGAGCAAUAGUUGUAGACCAUGUCAUAAAUCAUGGCAUGACAGUGACUGAGGUGGCUACAAUGAUUUAACCAAACCUCAGAAGAUCAACCGUGGCCGCAAUCAUCAGAACUUGCCGCAAUGAGAACCGAAUAGAGACUAGGCCAAAUAGGGGAGGCAGAGGCAAAAUUCUGACUGACCAACAAGAGCGGACUGUGGUCAGCUUGGUUCGGCCCAGAAAUUAUAUUCGCCUUACAGACAUUCGGCAGCACAUCUUGGACAAUGACGACAUGUUCAACAAUGUGGAAGCCAUUAGUUUGCUGACUAUUGCACGAAUGCUGAAAAGGCACCAGGUGUCUCUAAAACAGCUAUACCAUGUACCUUUUGAAAGAAAUUCAGACAAAGUGAAGCAACUGAGGACUGAAGGGUGAUGGAGCUGGAUGCUGACGAAAACCAUCACAAAUUCAUCUUUUUGGAUGAGGCAGGCCAAGACAAGGAGGAGAGGUCAGAAUUUCAUUGGCCAGCGGGCAACCAUCCAAGUACCUGGACAACAUGGGGCCAACAUCACCAUGUUUGCGGCUAUAUCAGAAGAUGGUGUGGUGGGACGCAGACCUCAUAUUGGAUCAUAUAAUGCAGCUCUCCUUGUAACCUUCCUCGAGCUAAAUCAGGUCUGUAGAGCUGAUGGUGUCACCUAUGGCAUUGUGUGGGAUAAUGUCAGGUUCCACUAUGCUCAAAUCGUGCAAGCAUAGUUUCAGGCCCAUCCACAAUUUACCACCCUGUACUUACCCCCAUACUCUCCUUUCCUUAACUCGAUUGAGGAAUUUUUCUCCACAUGGAGGUGGAAGGUAUAUGAUGUCACUUGAUCACAAAUAAGUCACCCUUCUCCAGGCCAUGGAUGAUGCAUGCAAUGACAUCACGGCAGACCAGUGUCAGGCCUGGAUUCGCCAUUACUGAAGAUUCUUCCCAAGAUUCUUCCUAAUGAAAACAUCCAUUGUUAUGUGGUUGAGAACA